CCGGAACGGCUUCGACGGUGAGGGACGAAAGCUGGGGGAGCAAACCGGAUUAGAUACCCGGGUAGUCCCGGCCCUAAACGAUGCGCGUUAGGUGUGUCGGUGACCACGAGUCACCGAGGUGCCGAAGGGAAACCGUGAA
rnacentral:rRNA from 1 species